ACGUCCCUCAGACUCACCGGGUUUUUGGAAAAUCAUUCCCUCUGCUUUUGGAUGGUGGGGAGCUGGGAAGAUUUCUAUUAAUGUUUUUACAUUUGGAAAGUAACUAUUGCAACAAAGAAUUUUUUUUCAGAGGAUUUGGACAACAGACUGAACUGGAGAUGCAACAGUGAAGCCGUCUGUUAGAAGGGACAGAGCAGACUGUACAUCUUCAGGAAGCUAAAAUACUGAAGGACCCACACAAUUAAAAAACUGUGAAUCAUCUGCUGCAGUUGUUGGAGGUCCUCAGUUGUUAGUGACAAUAGUAAUGGAGAGCCUGCAACACACAGCCGCAGGAGCAGCAUUCAGGAAGGAUCUUUGAAGAUAACGAGCUACUACUCCUGCUCAUUAUCUUCAAAGGACAAGCAGAUCUAAAGAUCCAGACUGUGUUUUACUAAAUGAACGCGCCGGUGGGGAGUUCUUCAGAUGAACGAUCAGUCCAGCCGCUGCAGUCCUCUUUCACUCUGCACUGAGUCCAACAAACCAAACCCUUUGAUCAACCUGUUCUCCUCUUCACCUGUGGUGGCACUGCACCAGGAACCACUGAAGGAAGCAACACAAAAGCCUCUGAAGAAGACACAACUUCCUUCGUCAUGAAAUGUUACAAAAAUUGAGUGGUGUAAAUCUUUAGCAGUUGCAGGAUUUCUCUGUUUAUGUUUUCAAAAGACCACGAGCCAUUUCUAAAGCGAGACCUAGACACAAAUGUCUGUUUUGUCUGCAUUUACCCAGAAUGCCCUGUAUUGUAGGGACGGUCUAAGGUCUGCUUGGCAUUCACAUGUGCAUUCGAAUGACACCAGAGUUCACUUGAAGUGAACCCAGAGUGAGGUUUUUAGGCUGUUUUCUACAUCAGAGUUUCUUUACACAUUCACACCUCCACAGAUGAACCAGGAAACAAACUGGAGUUUGAUGAAAGCGGGCUAAACAUGGCUGGUGUGAGUGCACCAUUAGGCACCUACAUGUGCUAACAACUAGCAGGAAAAAAGUUUUGUCUUGGCAGGAAUCUGACCCCAGCUGUUCAUUCAGCACACCUCACAGCCGCAGCAGGCACUGGCCGAUUUAAAAAUGUGUGUUUGCUCCUUCAUUGCUGGUGUAGAUCUGCCAUUUACCAUCGCUCCUCCACUCAUAGGUUUAUGCAAGACCUUAACGCCCUCACACAUCUGUUUUGAGGCUGCAUGCUAGCUAUGUAAUCACACAUGGUAUCUCACCAGAGUUAAAGAAAAGCUUAUCCAAAAAGCUAAAUCGGGACAUGUUUUCACUCAACAUCAAUAAUAGUAAGAAUGACAGUUCAUGAAGAGGAUACAGGCUGCAUCGCCUCAGCAUUGAUGCUGGACGUAAAAGCUGACCUGCUGUCAUAUGUAAAAACUGACACUGUUUGGGAAACAGAUGUUACAGAAACCCAAAGACGCUUCAUGACAACAGUGACGACCAUUAAGACUGUCAUUAGUGUUCAUGUCAUGUUCAUGUCGCCCUUCAAAUAAAGUGCUACCAUCGUUUGGUCAUUUUUUGUCACUGGUCAAUGGAAAGCUAAUUUCUUCUGGCAACUUUACAGCUUUAGUAACUUUUAUUGUGAACACAGUAAGAGCAAUAGGCAGGCAGUGAAUUGACUUGUUAUUCAUAGGGAUGGAUUACUGAGCAAGCCUACCAGGCUCAGGGACCUAAGAGCUCCAGGGGCCCUAAAGCCUGGGGCUCUGCCCAAAGUACUAUGUACUGUAACAUAAACUCAUAUUGGGUUUGUCUGUUGUCCAUUUGUAUCCACAAAGUUCACCAGAAUCCAUCAGUUAAGGUCUGUUUUCCCAAAACGUUCUCCCAGAGAAAACUUGUAGAUCUCCCCCUUGACAAUAAUGUCUGGAUGACGAAGGUUACACACAAAGAAUGUUUUAUACAUCUGCACCCAGAAGCCCACAAGACCAUAAACCGCCCAUGGAUUAAAAGGCUUAUUUUUAUAUAAUAUGCGUUAAAAGUGUAUCACAUAUAGCAUCCCCUGCCCGCCUACAGGGCAGAGAAAAAAGUUCAGACUCAGGAUAUUUUUCCACUAUCAUCCCUGUUUUCAUGCUUCAGGCAUUCAUUGGGGUCGUAUAAUUUUCUGAGGUCUGUUCUGACAGCAGCUCUUUAUUUAUUUCCUGAAUGUAUCCUUAAACUAUCCAUCGUUGUGUCUCCAUCUCAGAAGAUUAAACAAUGAGAAAAUGUUUUUUACAGCUGGUCACCUAAACAACUCGGGUGAUGAGAAUAAGUCUGACUAUGAGCGACAGGACCCUGUCUGAUCAGCCUUUGUUUUGUUUUUGUCCAAAUGAUGAUUUGUUUUCUCUGAAAAUAUUCUGUGUUUCCUUAACCUCCUCAUAGCUAGACUGCAUGUUUUACCAAAGUGCCCCUCCUGUUGACCGUCCUGCUUUAUGGCAUUCUCUGUUCAUUUGCUGACCUGGAAAUGUGUGAAAACAGAUGCAGAUGAGAUCUUUAGACCCAACAUCCCGUAUUCUAGAGAUUGGGAAGAUGGCAUUUCCAACAUUCAUGGGGCAAAAAAAAAAGCUCGCUAAUAUUUUAGAGACUUUUGGUCUAACACAACAUGUCAAACAAGCAACACACACUAAAGGACACACAUUGGACCUGGUUAUCAGGGUGUGAAUAUUUCCAAUGUCUCUGUAACUGAUGUCACCCUGUCGGAUCACUUCCCUGUUAUUUUUGAAAGUUCUUUAUCUUUUAACCCACUUGGACAAACAGCAACCAUCACAAAACGUUCUCUCACUGAAAACACAGCAGAAACUUUUAAUCAAAUCUACUCUUCUUCCUCACCCUUAAGCUGUAAUGAUGCAGAUAAGUUGGUAAAUGAUUUUCAGGCUAAAGUCUCAGAUAUCAUUGAUUCCAUCGCCCCAAUUAAAAUGAGGGUUGUGUCUGGUA